GGGUGACUAGUGACAGAGAGAGGGAGCGGGUGACACAGUGACAGAGUUAGGGAGGGAGUGACUAGUGACAGAGAGAGGGAUGGGGUGACUAGUGACAGUCACCCCCCCUCACUCUGUCACUAGUCACCCCUUCCCUCCCUCACUUUGCCACUAGUCAUCUCUUCCCUCCCUCACUCUGCCACUAGUCACCCAUUCCCUCACUCUGUCACUAGUCACCC